UGAGUGGAUUUAUGAACAUGCUGCUCAUAAA
rnacentral:piRNA from 1 species